rnacentral:rRNA from 1 species
AGUUUGAUCAUCCGUCAGAAAGAACGCUGGCCCCAGGCCUAACACAUGCAAGUCGAACGGUAACAGGAAGCAGCAAGCUGCUUUGCUGACGAGUGGCGGACGGGUGAGUAAUGUCUGGGAAACUGCCUGAUGGAGGGGGAUAACUACUGGAAACGGUAGCUAAUACCGCAUAAGCUCGCAAGCACAAAGAGGGGGACCUUAGGGCCUCUUGCCAUCGGAUGUGCCCAGAUGGGAUUAGCUAGUAGGUGGGGUAACGGCUCACCUAGGCGACGAUGGGUAGCUGGUCUGAGAGGAUGACCAGCAACACUGGAACUGAGACACGGUCCAGACUCCUACCCCAGGCAGCAGUGGGGAAUAUUGCACAAUGGGCGCAAGCCUGAUGCAGCCAUGCNGCGUGUAUGAAGAAGGCCUUCGGGUUGUAAAGUACUUUCAGCGGGGAGGAAGGGAGUAAAGUUAAUACCUUUGCUCAUUGACGUUACCCGCAGAAGAAGCACCGGCUAACUCCGUGCCAGCAGCCGCGGUAAUACGGACCGUGCAAGCGUUAAUCGGAAUUACUGGGCGUAAAGCGCACGCAGGCGGUUUGUUAAGUCAGAUGUGAAAUCCCCGGGCUCAACCUGGGAACUGCAUCUGAUACUGGCAAGCUUGAGUCUCGUAGAGGGGGGUAGAAUUCCAGGUGUAGCGGUGAAAUGCGUAGAGAUCUGGAGGAAUACCGGUGGCGAAGGCGGCCCCCUGGACGAAGACUGACGCUCAGGUGCGAAAGCGUGGGGAGCAAACAGGAUUAGAUACCCUGGUAGUCCACGCCGUAAACGAUGUCGACUUGGAGGUUGUGCCCUUGAGGCGUGGCAACCGGANNUAACGCGUUAAGUCGACCGCCUGGGGAGUACGGCCGCAAGGUUAAAACUCAAAUGAAUUGACGGGGGCCGCACAAGCGGUGGAGCAUGUGGUUUAAUUCGAUGCAACGCGAAGAACCUUACCUGGUCUUGACAUCCACGGAAGAAAACAGAGAUGAGAAUGUGCCUUCGGGAACCGUGAGACAGGUGCUGCAUGGCUGUCGUCAGCUCGUGUUGUGUUUUGUUGGGUUAAGUCCCGCAACGA